rnacentral:tRNA from 1 species
GCCCUUAUAGCUCAGAGGUAGAGCGCAUCACUCGUAGUUGGGUAAUACCAUUUGCCAUGAUGAGGUCUCAGGUUCGACUCCUGAUGGGGGCA